rnacentral:snoRNA from 1 species
AUGCUGGAGACCUGGGUUCAAUCCUAGUUCAUUAUGAAAGAAGUUUCUCUGAAUGUGUAGAGCACCUGAAACCCUAAGUAAGAAGCUCAGUGUUCCUUGUGAGUGUGAAGCUGCUUUUGGUGUUGGUUCUGCAACUGCCAUUUGCCACAGAUGAUCAUUCUUCUUUUCCUUUGGGGAGCAAGAGGGAGAGGACACUGCCUGAGU